rnacentral:tRNA from 1 species
AGGAUAUUAAGUUAAGCAGACUAUGGUAUUUCAAGUAUUAAAGUGAAACGCAGUUUCAUAUCCCG